CGUUCGUUUAUCUUCAUUGUUAUCGCAGUCAAUUCCGAAGCAAAAAAAAUGGGAUAUAAAUUUUUCAUUUUUAAAGCUGUUUACAUUUUAUUAUUGCUACCUUGUCUUAAUUGUAAAGACUGUAGGGAUCAUAAUCAUGAGAAACGGAACAAGCAGGAAUGGGUGUUAUCGUUAAUAUGACCUUAAAGGGAAAUAUGACUUAAUACUUUGCAUCGACUACAAUCAAAUGGCAUCUCGUGACAUGGAAAGAAGAGCUUAAAUAUUUUCAACGUUAUCAACAGGUUUUUGUAUGACAUUUAUAAUUUGCCUCAACUUCAAACAGAAAAACGCUAAUCUCAGUGUCAAACGCUUAUAAGUAUGUGGGAAAUUGCAGCUCUUAAAUCCUGGACAAAUCAAUCAAGGUGACGAUGUGCGACUGGAGUUCACAAAUAAUUACUUAAGUCAUGACACAAGUUCAUUCAGAUGGUGGAAAUAUAUCCAUGUAGGGACUAUUAGCAUUAAUACCACCUUGCAGCGUUUUCAAAUUGAUGUUCAACAAGCCAGUGUCACAUUGACAAUACAUAACGUCACAGCUGAGGAUAGCGGUCGUUACACAGUGGAUUUAGGACACAACGAGUGUUCACCUCCGUCGAGUAUUUUAGUUACAGUGAAAGAGCCAAAGGUCCAUUCCAUAAUUCCCAAAUUCACUCACAUCGUUACUAUCCCAGAGUUGGAUUGUGAACAAUGCCUGGUGGGUACGGUUGGCGUCUACGACAACGUGGAAUGUAUAGUGACUAAAAUCAGCGAGAAAAACAUGAACAUGGAGUUGAAUCUGAAGAAAAAUGGUCAAGAUGUACCCAAUGUGACUGUGGAAGGUUCUCCUUUUUAUCGGGCAUUUUAUGCAUACACGCCGAGUGAAGAAGAUACAGACCACACCGUUACUUGCGAGGCCUCUAGAGAUGGCCAACAAGCAGUUACAGUAUCAAUCACUCUUCUCGUUCUGCGUAAGUUGUAUGAAUUUAAUAAUGUUUUUAACAUACGCAGUAUGUGAGAAAAAAACCCGGAGAAACAGAAACAGUGCAAUGUAUAACAUUUAUGCAUACAUUCCGAGUGAAGAAGAUAAAGAUCA